GGCAGAUUCUCUUCCCUACACGUGACAAGUCAUAAAGUGAAGUUUAUCUACGUGUCUUAUACUGUUACUAUUCACAUAUUUUUUCCUUCUGUUUCAAUUUUUCUUCCUCCAAUUUCUGUGCUCAAAUGAAUGUUCUUAAGGCACAAUGCAGGUGUUUGUAGGUCCUUUGUUUUCUCUACGUGGCACUCCUUCAGAUCCUCAUUUAUUACUGUUAACACGAGAGUCAUUUCUAUUGUGCUGUUAGUACCUCAAGGAAUAUGGGCAGUUUUGUGUGUCUUUGCAAUCCCAUCACACACAGUGAACACCUAAUUAAGGUUUAUGGAAUAGAUCAAGGUUCAUGGUAUCCCUUAGAGUCUCUUCUACAGAAGCAUGGGCUCCUCUAGCUCUAGCAACCGUCCUAGAACCUAUACAGCGAGGGCUAGGAUGAUCAGCUAAUAUUGAGAGAACUUACUCUGAUGUGAUGCUGCUCAGAAACUAAGGUACUGUAGGUAUAAAGUGAAAAACACCAAAAGAAGGAUAAUCAGGAAACUAACAUCAUACUUCCAGAACAAUGAUUAAAUAGGAAUUGUUUACAUAAGGCACCAUGAAUUAAAAUGAAAAUACUAUCUAUUCCAAUAAUACUGCAUAAGUCUUCUAACAACAGAUAAUUAUGAUAAGUCAGAGAAGACAAGUUCUUUGUUGCUUCUCCCACUAAGAUGUGAAGUCUGAUUAAAGGUCAUGUGAUUUUCAGUGGCCUAAAGCAAAAAGCACAAUGCAAGUUGGCAGAUACCUUCCAGCCCCUGCCUCGGUCCCUUGGAAUGUCUCUUCUUAGAAUGCCUAUACUCUGAACCCAGCCACUGGGUUGUGAGAAAUCCAAGGCUCAUAAAGAGGGGAAGAUGUAUGCUGCUUUAUUAAUCCCAGCAAAUGCCUGACUGACAGUCAUCUCCAGUGAGGAGCAGACUUAGUCUUGUCAAGCUUCCACCACUGACUUCUGACUGCAGUCACAUAACAGCCUGGGCAGGCUUUCAGAUUCAUGACUCACAAAAUAGGAUGGAAUAAUUUUUAUACAAUUAAAUGAUAUGUUUGCUACAUAGCAGUGGAGAGGAAAGCAAUAAAUACAUAUAGACAUUGACCAAAGGGUGACUUGGUAAGAAGAAAUAAUUGUAGCAAAAACUGGGCUGUGCUGCUUAUAUCACACUUCAAAAAGGAAGUGAUUUCCAAUUGCAAGGGACAAAGCUGCUAGUUUGUAGCCUUCCUCUGUCUAGGAGCUCUCUCAUUUAUGUGCACGAACUCACUUUUGGGUAGCAUUGAAAUUAUAUAAGCAUAGAAACUGACUUUGCCUUCUGUUUCCUUUAUGGUUAAAGUUGAGAAAUUUUGAAGUGGGUUAUUGUAACAGUAAAGAGAGAGGGAAGGAAGGGGAGACUACCAAUCAGUUCAUCGUUUUUAAAUGGAAUUUAAUAACCUAUUGCAUUCUGCUCCUCGAUCAAUCUCACAUUUAGAGUAUUAUUUGCCCUUUCUUUGACAGUUGACGUUACCAGUCCUGGGAGAGAGAGGACUGUCCUGAGAAGGACAGGACACUUCUGUUUAAAUAUUUGAAGAAUUCAGAGGAGUGAGAUUUAUUACAGUGAAAACAGCUAUCACAGCAACAGGGUGGAGAUUGCUCACUAUGACUGAAAACUGAGCACUGAAAAAUGGGCUUGAACUUUCUGAAGAAUUGUUCAAAGAGGCAGUGGGCUGCUUUGGUGGGUGAGGUACCAUGUGCCACCAGGGAAAGUCAAGCCUAGACCUGACGCUUACAUAUUUGAGAAGGCAUUAGAGGAAUCCAAGAAAUUCUUUAAAGCAGCUGUGCAAAAAUAUAUGAAAGAAACAGAUUGGCAAAUGUGAAGACAUUUCAAGAGUCCCUGUCCCCUCAACUAUAAAUAUGACAGGAAUUACACCACUGAAACCAGAUGUUAGCCCUGGCGCCUGGGUUGUAAGGUAGAAAGCUCAGCUCAUGCCUUUAUUGCUUUCUAAUAAAGCCAACCAAGCUUAAAAUAACCUCGUGGCUACUUUAGCAAAGACUAAUAGAGGAAAUUACACUAGUGAGAAGCUAAUAACGCAGACAGGAUGAUCUGAGACAUCUUCAGAUGAAGAUGGUGGAUGCUGAGUUCCUAACUGAGGGGAUUAAAGCUCUUUUCUUAGGAAGGGUUUAGGGAAUUUAUCAGUAGGGGGCAUUGGUGCACUAUCAGUGGAAGAAUCCACCGCAGGCACUGAGUGUGCUUGGUAAUUCUGAGCACUUCAAAACAAUCAACAAAGCCAAGCAGAUAGGGAAACCAUUUUUCUUACAAAAAAAAAAUGAGCACAGAUAUAUCAUCUGUUGAGAGUGAAAUUUUAGGAAAUGAAAGCAAAGCAUUGUAUAUUUGUUGUUGUUUUUUUUUCAAGAUAAAUGAAAGAUGCUAGAGGCAUACAUUUUUUUUUUCCUUGAGAGUAAGACUAAUAUCAUAGUGGCUGCAGAUUCAGCAUUUCUGAUUUCAGGAAUUGAGAAAAGAGCUGAGUCUGCAGGGCAGGGAGCGAGCAUCUGUAAUGUUGAGGACUCCCACGGAAGGGUAAGGAAUGUGAGUAUGUUAGUGAUGUCCCCAGGGGAACAGAUGCUGGUCUCUGCUUGUCUAACUUCCCUUAGACCAGGGUAGGCAAAGUCAUACAGGUGUAAAAGUAGCUUUUUUUUCUCCUGUAGUAAAUGCCUCUGAGGCUUACUGCUUCGAUCAGCUAACCUAGAUCUAGUCCUGGAAGCUUCUAGACAAACUUAUCUAGGCCUAGAUAAUUUUCAACCUCUCAGAAUUGCUGCUGAAUUCUUUCUGAACUCUGGCUAACUGGUUCAACUCAACUAUUCUGGUUCAAACUCCUCUCUAAGCUGACUGAUUCAAUCUGGCUUCUCUCUCUCUCUCUCUCUCUCUCUCUCUCUCUCUCUCUCUCUCUCUCUCUCUCUCUCUCUCUCUGCCUCUCCUGAAUUGCUCUGCUUGGCCUCAUAUUGACUUUGGUAAUAUGUUCUAAUCUUCUGGCUCCGUCUCAUUCUCUAGCUGUUAAGUCUUCACCUGUGGCUAGCUUGUACUCGCUCUGUAACCUGUCUCUCUAUCACUGUCCCAGUAAAACGGCCUCUUUCUCUCUCUCGCCUCUCUUUUUAUACUUCUCUCUUCUUUUUUCAUUAAUUCAUUCAUUCAUUCAUUCAUUCAUUCAUUUAUUCACUUUACAACCCCAAUAUUAGGCCCCCUAUUUUCCCAGUCUCCUACUCUCACAGCUCCUCCCUCCAUUUCCCUCCUCUUCUGUGAGAAGGGGACCCCCUGGGAAUUACAGCCCCCAUAUGGCACAUCAAGUCACUUCAAGACUAAGUGCAUCCUCUCUCACUGAGGGCAAAUAAGGCAGCUCACUUAAGGAAUUGGGGUUCACAGGCAGGCACUAGAUUCAGUGACAGCACCUGCUCCAGUUGUUGGGGGACCCAUACGAAGAACAAGCAGUAUAUCUGCUACAUAUUGCACUACACCCAGAAGUAGCUUCCCUUUUGUUUCUCUUCUUAUGAGAGUUGAGCAUAUCAUAUUUUGUCAAAUAUUUUUCUGAUUUGUCACUUUGUCUGCCACUCAAUUAGACAUCACCUUCAAACAUGAGUUCUUCCUUCUAAACACGACUUUUACCUUCAUUGUUUGGGGUUAAAAAUAUGUGCUAAGACUAAGCUGAUUUACAACUAGAAAUGGGGUUUUCCAGUAAAUAACAUAAUCUUGGGGCUGACCGUGUGAUCAAAUAUCCUAUAACAGGAUACAAUACAGGAGUCCUAUACAGGAAUGACGUGAAUGGUGUAAAACUGAAAACUUGCAGCUUUGUAAUGUACAGAAUAGGAGUGUCACCCUUUUCCUGCCAUCUGCCAUGGGUGAGACGUUUCUUCAAUACUCACACCAUUUCCCAAGUCCAUCACAACAGAAAUGUGAUAGGUAGGUACAAUUAUGUAUGAAUUAUUACAUUUUAUAGAAAACCAUGAUUUUCCAGAUUCUUUGACCUCUACCCUCAAAUAAUUUCAUAUUACAGAAGUUAUCAUCUUGAGGCAAUAAAAUUUGAGAGCUGAGAGAACAAGACAGAAAGAUCCAUUAAAAUAUACACAUCCUGAUUUCUCUGAUCCAACUCUGUGAGAAGCAGCCUUGAUUUAGUAUGCACUGGUGAAGACUUUCUAAGUGGAUUUGCUUCAACUGUUGGUGCUAUCCUCUGAACUUUUGGCAUAUAUCUUUCUAGUUUACUGACACAAUCACAUGUUCAUAAAUACACAUAUUUCAACUUAAUACGUUGUUGAAGAAUUCAUCUAAGAUAUAAAACUUUUAUUUAUUUAUCUAUCUACCUAUCUAUUUAUUUAUUUAUUUAUUUAUUUAAAAGAAAAUACUCUUUGAGAUGGACAGGUGGAAAGUAAACCCUGAGGACAUAGAUUUGUAGGGACAAGAUAACGAAAGGAGGCCAUUUUUUUUCUGUAUUUUUAAUGCUCUGAAAUUUGAUACGGGAAAAUGAAGAGGAAGGAAGAGUAAGAGAGAUGGUUCCUUGGGGUAAGAAAGGCAGAAAACUUUCCAGAUAACACAAGACUUAGAACUCAAAUAUCUAAUUAUGAAACUUUAACUUAUUUAUUAGAUUGUAAGGGAGAGAUCCUUUUGCUUCAUGUUUUUUAAAAGUAACUGAAGUUUGUGAAUGGGUUUGUUUAUGGAUAAAGAACUGCUCAAAACAGUAAGGCAAAGCAAGCCCCACACUGAUGGUAAAAGGACAAGAAUGAAAACUUCAAUAGCAGAGAAGUUCAGAGAGACAGCAUAGCGACUACACUGAAUGCACAGGAUCAGGAGAACGAAACAGAGCAAACGGUGCCAGCAUAAGGCCUUCUAUUUCUUCUCUGCCAACUGCCUCUCCCACUAGAGUCCAAAUGAUGAACAGGACUCUGGACUUCUGAGGGUCUAGAAGGGAGGGUGACUCAAUAUUACAGUGAUUGAAAGGGUCAAACAGAUUUAGCCAAGGUUGUUGUUAGACAAUGAUGUCCUAAAAAUAACUUGAACGAUCCUUUUAAAUUUCUGGUCUUGCCUUCCUUAUAGGGUCCACAACAAAGUUGUAUAGGUAUAUUCCUGAAUAAUAGGGUCCUGAGAUUAUGUUUCUGACUCCUGUCUUAAUCUACUUUACUAUAACAAAGUAACCUGAAACCAGGUAAUUUAUAGUCUACUGGACCUCAACCCUGGAGUCUGGGGAGUCCAAUAUCAAGGCAUUAGUAUCUAGGCAAAAAAGGCCAACUCUUCCUUUUAUGUUACCAAUCCCAGCUAUGGAGGGCACUUAAGGCCUAUUUACUUCCUAUAAGUAGUGUUGAGGUUGAUAUGCUAAUGUAGUUUGAAUCUCUCUGUAAAGUCAUAGGUGCAUUUUGGUAACCAGUGAACUAGGGAAAUGAUUAUAAAACUAAUAUCAUUCCAGGAUUGAAGAGAUUACCCAGUAGUUAAGAGUGCUGGCUGCUCUUCCAGAAGGCCUAGGUUCAAUUCUCAGCACUCACAUGAUUGGUCAUAAUGUUCUGUAAUUCCAAUCUCAGGAGAUCUGAUUUCUCCUGGCCUCCCCUGGCAUGCACAUGGUGCAAAACAGACAUUUAUGCAGACAAAGCACUCAUACACAUAAAAUAAAAAUAAAUAAAAAUUCACACACCCACAAAUUAAUAUCAUUCCAUAGUAGAAGCACCCCUGAAUGGUAUAGAACAUGCAUUUAUAUUUUAGAGCAGAGUUUCACUCAGUUUCUCCUGAGAUCCUUGGUGUGUGUGUGUGUGUGUGUGUGUCUAAGAGUGUGGUGUGUGUACCUUAGGUCUAUGGACAAAUCACCAACAUUUUGUAGUGCCUCAGUUUCUUUCUUUAAGAAAAGGAGUGUCAAGAAUACUCAUACAACUCAAAGAAAGCACCAAGAACAGGAAUUUAGGGGCUUAGACGCUCUGUGAGCUCACUGCAGGUCAAGACACUCAUCUACUGGAAUGUUAUAGCUCACCUGGGACAGACAUGCUGCUUCCUGGGGGUUCUCAGCGAUACUUCUAGGCCCAAAGAGGAAGCUUCGGAAAACAAGUUAUUUCAAAAACAAAACAAAACAAAACAAGCAAGCAAACAAACAAACAAAAAACCAAAGCAGUGCCAUAAAAGCUGGCUUUCCACAAAUCAGAGUAUCUUCCUGUCACUAACUGGAUCUACAUAAGAGGUUUGUUUAUUUACUGGUGACUCCACCUAGAUCUUCCUCCAGGUCUGGGUCCUUCUGACCUACAUUGUGUAUGAUCUUUUUAUCUACCCUUUUCUGUCUAAUGCUUUAAAGAUUACAUUUCAACUAUGGCACAGUUUGAUGAUCAAACAUAGAACCUUGGAAGCAGAAUAUUAAACUUGUAAAACUGAAAGUAAGAGAAUGAGAGAAAUCCAAAAACGGUCAGUCAUGAGUCAGAAGAACUGGCAUCUCUUGUUCCUAGAGGAACAAGAGGGGAAAAAAAUCCUACUCUACUCACAAGUAGAUCAACAGAGUCAGAACACUAGAAAGAGAGUGGGUGAUAGCUGCACCUUUCUCUAAAGUAAUUGUUUUAAUGUGGUAACACAAAGGAAUCAAUGCUUGUGUGUGUGUAAGUGUGUGUUUUGUGUGAGUGUGGUGCAUGUAUCUGUGUGUUCCCGAAAGCACACUGAGGGUCCGUCCAACUGAUGUCUUCAUCAACCUCACUUUUUUCCCUUUGUAUUUAUUUCUUUAAGACAGAAUCUCAUUAUAUAGCUGAGGUUGACCUUGAACUCAAAGUACUCCUGUCUCAGCUUUCUGAGUGCCAGAGUUCCAGGUGUGUGUACCACCAUGCUAGGUUCAUAUCUACACCUUCUCGAGGCUAAGAAUUCUUUAGUUGCCUUUUGUAGUCACAUUUGCAAAGCACUGGUCAGAUAUGGGAGAAACAAUGUCAACAGUGUUGUUCCACAAUGAAAAACAGUUGUGGUAAGACCAAAAUAAUCAAUAGCAAAACUGAGGUAUUUUAUAAAGCACUGUGGAAUCAGUCUCAACAUUUAUUUCUGAAGUGCCUGGGAAAAGUAAACUCUUGCAAUUGACAAAUUUAAUUAACUUCCUGCCUAUGGCUUAAGCUGUUUGGGAGCAGAAAGAAAACAAAACUGUGGCCUGUUGCUCGGUCAGGAGCUUGGCCUGAUGCUUGGUCAGGAGCUAGCAGGCGAUGGUUGGCUCCUGAAUCACAGACUUUUCCCGUUUUCCUUACGGAGUACCUUCUCCUAUUCCUCCUUCCCUCCCUUCAGCGAUCAUGGCAGUCAGAUGAUGAAACUUGCAAGAGUUGUGGAGUUGCUGGCUUGGGAGCUGGCCAGUGCAAAUCCUUGCUCUUCUGGGGCAGCUGUGUGGGUUUCUCUGCCUUUUCAAAACUCAGUAAAACAGGGAGGAUAAUUUCUAAUGUGGGCAAAGGAAAAAUAUCAAAAUGAUAUUGGCACUGAUACUACCAAUGGCCUCCUGCUGAGAAACACUUGGGCCACAGACACUUCCAACUCUUCCCUACAGCUCCUUUUAAUGCAGUAGGUGCAGGGUGGAACAGGAAAGGAUAGCGAACACAGCAGUAUUUACAGUAAAACUAAAUGGAAAUUCAGAGCAGAGAGUCAUGUGAAAGAAAAAGAUAAAACUUUCUUUAAAACAUGAAGGACAACCCCAUAGGAAGACCAGCAGUCUCAACCUGGAUACCCUAGAUCUCUCAGACACUUAGCCACCAACCCCGUAGCAUACACUAGCUGGUACAAGACCCCAACACAUAAGAGAAGAUGCACCUAACCCUCAAGAGACUUGAGGCUCCAGGGAGUGGGAGGGCUGGUGGGGUGGAGUGCUGAGGACAUCUUCUUGGAGACCACGGGUGGGGUUGGAGGGAGGAGGAACGGGAUGAGGAACUGCCAGAGGGCAGACAUGGAGGGAGACAAGGAAUGGGCUGUAAAAAAUGAUUAAAGAUAGUUUAAAACCAAACCAAAUCAAACCCCCCAAACCCAUUCCUAAAAUGGGUGUGGUGUUUUACAUUUUUAAUUUCCAGCCCUUGUUUAGUAGCACUGACUUCAAAGAGGGCAAGACAUGGAACACAUUGUAGCCUCCCAAGAGGUACCGGCCAGAAUUAAAAUAACCCUUGAUACUUCUAAAUACUAGUUUACAGCAGGCAGCUAAGAUGGGCCUCCUAGGACUGAACCACGUAAUUAGGUAGCCUUGCCCCCACCAGGACAGGAAACCACAACUGUUCCCACAUAGAAAGAACAGAGUAGAACACAAGUUUCCUGUGGUAUCUGCCACCCAAGAUGAAGGCAGGAGAAAGGAGCAAAGCCAUAUGUGCCCAGUUCUUUCAAUCUUGCUUAUCAUAUAACAGUGUAUCUUAGCAGAGCUGCCUAUACCCUUAUGGAUCUUUCUCGGCAAGAUUCGAAAUAACAAGCAUGGGAAAUGUGGAAAUCCAUUGUCUCGACUCACUCUUGCUUUGCAGAAUGAAUGGGAUUUUAUAAUAAUGAAAUUUACUAAAAGAAACAACUCUAUAUCAAUAGUCCUUAAUGUUUAAACACUGGAUCUUGAUGAAUGCCCUUCUGCUUUUAUUCUAGAAUUGACUGAAUGAGAUAUGAUGAUAUAUUUGGCUUUCCCUUCUCUUUCUUAAAUCUUUCAGUAAAUUUAAUUUGCAGACGUGAUUGGAUUGGUUCCAGGAGGGGGAGGGGAGAAGUGUGUACGCAUCUGUAAUGAUCUCUGACAGUGUGAUGUGGAGCAAUAGUUGUUUUUUUUUUUUUAUGACAGUAGCCAAAAUUACCAUAAUUAGGGAAAAUAUCCACAUCUUUCUAAACAGCGUUAACUGAUUCAAAAGGGACUUAAUGAGAAGUUACGAGGGGAAGAACAUUUUUGCCAUUGACGAUUAAACAUUAAUUAAAGUCAGAAGGCACUAGUCAAAUUGUCUUUGGUCUUCAGUCAUUUGGCAAGGCACAGAAAUUGGAGUCUGUAGAAUCUGCUGACGUUGCUGACUGUGACCCUCCAAAUGGGUUCUCUAAAUUUACAAGCAGUUUCCAUGUCUAAUUUUACUUCCUGCUAAAGACCUUGAUAAGAUCAUACUGCAGAAAUCCAGAGCUGAAGGCUUUUAAAUGCAAAGCAUUUUAGAAUGUGGUAUCUUAUUUAAAUAAUCUUUUUUUUUUUUUUUGGUGACAGGUCAGUAAAGGGAAUCUUAUAUGAAAUAUAGCAUGAUCCAUAUUAUGAAGAAAAACGUGCAGGGAUGAUGCCAGAAGAAAUGCAUCAGGUUAUUAGGAACAGAUUUUUAAAAAAGAAUUGAGUAUUGGAUGACUCUCCUGCAUCUUAUGUAUCUUCAGUUCAUAAACAGGAAAAAAAAAAUAAAGUAAGUUUCAACAUCCAAAAUGUUCUUUAUUCUCAUGGAAGAAACGAUCAGUAUCAUAAAGUUGUCCCUACUUAGGGUGGUGACAUUUUGAUUCUGCUGUUGACCCUAGAGUUUGGAAAAUGUGAUGAAAGGGAAAUAAACAAGCACACCUCCCAUAGAAAUCUUACAGAAUAUCCAGGGACAGUUUGUUAUGUAACCCAGGCUGACCUCCUGCUAUAGUGCUAUCCUGAAACGCUAUAUGUUCCAAAGUAGACAAGAGAGUGAGCUAGGAUGUGUGUUUUGUCUGUUUGUUUUGUUUUACUUUGUUUUGUCUAUGAUGUAGGGUGGUCACGUCACAUGUUUGCUUUAUUUUGCCUAUGACAUAGGGCAGUCAUGUCACGUGUUUAUUUUGUCUAUGAUGUAGUGAUGUGGGAUGGUCAUGUCACCUGUUUGCUUUGGCUCAUUUAUUUUGACAUCGCCCUUUCCAGUUUGCAUCCCCUUCCUAUCGAUCCGCCUCAGCCCACUCACCAUCCAUAAAAUGUAGCUGCCACCUGCCCAGUGACUUUCCACUUUCAUACCGAUUCACCAUUUUAUUCUUUUAGAACAUGUCAGCCCCCUUUCUGCCCAGAACUUAUGAUGAGCUCAGUUUGUCUCACUCUUAAAUCCCAUCUCUUCAGUUUAUCCUAUCACCAAGAACCCGCUGGAAUUCACUGGUAAUUUCAACCUCUGUCCAACUAUUUUUUGUGUUUACAUUUAGUAAUUACAUGUUAUCUUUCCUACUUAGCUUUCUCUCCUCUGUGUUUAACUCCACAUUAGUUAUUUCAUAUAAUUGGUACUGAAGGGUUUUUUUCCAUAAUUUAAAACACACAUUUUAAAGAUGCUAACCACAGCAUCUAUAACACAACUCCUAUACCUAAAGCUCAGGGGACAUCUCAGAAGAGGAGACAGAACAGUUUUAAGAGCCAGAAGACCCAGGGGAUUGGUAGAUAUACAGUGUCAUAUAGACAUGACAGGGAAGUUAUGCUAAUGGAAUUGAACAAUAUGGUUUCCUACACAAGACUUGCAUAAUGACACUAGCUGACAUGCCAACAUGAAUGAAGAAAAUCUCAGAAGGCCUCACCCUGAGAUGAUGAGCCACAGGGCAAUCAACAGCUACUCUCAAAGGGAGAGAAUAAGUCUUCUCUCAAAAUGAUUUCCCCAAUAGGUUAUCCAAUAUUAAGUGGUUAGCCUGAAACACGUAUACAUAUGAGCAAUACUAAAUUCAGACAGAGGAAUUGAACCUAUUGCCUUCAUUUCAAAAUUCAAUCUUGUGUCUCUGUACUCUCUCUCUCUCUCUCUCUCUCUCUCUCUCUCUCUCUCUCUCUGUGUGUGUGUGUGUGUGUGUGUGUGUGUGUGUCACGGUCAGUUAUUUAUAGAAUAGUUAUAGCCAGGUUGGCUUAUGUUAGGUCUGAAAUGGGACAUCUGCACUAAGACAUUUGCAGAGUAAUUUUUCUCUUAUUUUGAUUGGUUUUGUCUUAGAAUAGUGAGGCAUUCCUUGAUGCAUUUGUGUGAAUGUUUGUGAGUGAGUAUUCAUGUGUGUGCAUGUGUUGAGUGUCUGUAUCCACACAAAGCCAAGUGCCUCAGCCAUACAAGAAGAUCACCUUGACUUUGUCAAAUUGAUGUGAGUUAAAAGUGCAGAUAGCAAUAAUAAGGAAAAUAUAGUCAAUAACUUUUAACUUUGUGCUGGUGCUUUUCAUCAGGGCAAAGGAAGAGUGAAGAGGUUUGUAGAAGACAGCUGAUUAAACCUCCACAUGAGAAGGUGUGGAGCUACUGACCUCCAAAUAGCACCGAGACUCUUCUAAGAAAUAACCUUGCAAGAAAAGCCUUGGCUCAGACGAUGGAGAAUGGCAUAGAAUUCAUUCCUUCAAAUGACUCCAAAUGGCAGAAUCCUGGCACAUGCUCAGGCCAGACAAGUUAACUCUGGCUUCCCACCCCUGGCAUUCUUCUCAACGCUGUCACUAAACCCCAAGUCUAUCCUCUGCGUGGUCUCAAGGUGGUUUGACAUCGACGUGUCCCUGUAUUGCUCUAAAUUCCUAUGUCAUCAUUACAGUGGAAUAUGAUGGAAGAAACUAUAUGUAACUGGCAUGAGAGAUGGAUAAUGCUCAAAACCUGUAAGUCUCCCCCCGCCCCCAUGCCCCCAACACUUGAAGGAUAAAGUCCCUGAGCCACUGGUAGGGUUUCAAGCUGACUCGGCCCCUCAGUGGUGGUGGUGGGGUGUCACUGAGAUCCAGAGAAACUCUGUUUUCAUGGGGACCACUGGAAGGACUCUCCAACUAAAGUCGGUGGACUAUGGAUCUUGGUCUGCCACAUCUGUCUACUGGGCUGCACCUGGUCACUUCUUAAGGAAUUGCCACAAUUUUCAAGCAAAGAACAGAAACUGUCUAUGGAAGCUCACAGUGACUCAGAAGCAGGUACUGCUAGUGAUGAAAAUGUCCAAGUAGAGGAGGCAUGUGAACUGAUACAAAGGCAUAGUAACCCUGCCCUACAGCACCCAUGCCUGCGUCUCUUGGCAUCUUUCCCUUGGCGUCCUUUGAGAAACCACUUCUCUUCAUUUUGGGAUAUAUAAUCAAAAGGCAUUCAUCUGCUGACUUAAAGAAAGUGAAAAUAAGGGCCCUGCUGAGGAAGCCUGAGGGAUUUGGAACCCUGUCAAGCACACACUUGGGUACCUAUUGCAAUGGAUAGCAGUGCAAACCCCAGCAGUACAGUGCUGUUCAGAUGGGGAUGGAGCAUGAUAGUGUCCUGGCCUGAAAUACCCCUGUAUCUUUAACUAUCAGGAAGGAUUGCAGAGGUGGAAAGGCUGAGAUCUUGUCACAAAGGAGCAGAGCAGCUUAAUUCCACUGCCCAGCUACUGACCUCUGAAGGCUAUGUGCAGCUUUAAACUCCAUAAACAUGUUUGCAUCUGUUGCUCUGUGAUGAGGAUGUUUGCACAUCUCAGCAUGGUGGGAAAACUGAACAUGGUCUCAUGGAGAGUUUUGAGGACAACAGAGAGGAAAGGUAGGACAGAUCCACCACUCACCAUCUGGCUUUUGGGGGCAGUGACACCUAUUUAAAAAGUUGCAGGAUACUUUCACAUUUAGACAUUAAAUGACUUUUUUUCUCACAAACUUUCUUGGCACCACAUGGCAGCAGUGAACUUGAUUUAUGUACUUUCUUGCUGUAUUUGAGCUCAGUUGCUCAGGGAAGCUCCACAGGCCACGCUCCUCCCUGGUAUCCAGCAGUCUAUUCACUUGCAGUGAGAAUUAAGGAUCUGGUUAAGGAAGAGCUUCAAAAACCAAGCUCAUAUUCCUUGCUCUGGGGGAGAAACUGCACAGAGGAGGAGAGGACCUUCAUGGGGGGGGGUGUUUAACAAUUAUCCUUCCUUCUGCUCAUGGCUGACUUCAUCAACCAGAGAAGUUGUGUAUGCAUAUCUGAUGGAAGCUUUAAUUAUUGCUGCUCAUUACUCUUCGCUGUGAUCAUUCCCGUUGUCCCUGUGACUCUGCUUAGCCACGGAUUUUAAGGCAUCUCAGUGUUUCUGUUGGUGAAACAGUAACCUUGUUACCUCUGCCUUAAGAGUUUUGAUUUUCUACUUGCUGAGACUGUUGCUGUCUUCAUCUUCCCAUCUUAAAAGGCAGCUGUUAAAAGUUGCAACUGCCCAAAUAACAUGUGAAAUAAAAAUAAACGUAAUUCCUCAUGAUUUUUUGAUAAAACAGCAAUGCAAUCAACAGCAGAUACAUUUAAUAUCUGAAAGCACUGUGCUAUGUUGUGUGGACUAUGCCUCAAUUUCACUCUCACAACACAACUAGACAGAUAGCACAGUGUUAAUUACAUCUCUUUCUACAAAAGGUCACUUGUCAGAGUAUGGUCCAUGAAUGAAUCUGUGUGAGAAAUUUUGAGAACUUAGGAAAACUCCAAAGAAACAAGACAAAAGUCUUAUCAGUUUCUCUAUAACAUGGGCUGUCCUUGGAAUGUCCCUCCCAGUUGUAAUAAAUUAGGAUUUUUUUAUUCAGAUUACCCAUCAUUUUAUUAUUAUUUAGAUAAUGGUUCAAGGUAUAGGUUGUCCCCAUGACUGUAUACAACUUAAAUUCAUAUGACCUUAACCUUGCAACUGUAUACAACCUGAACUAAAGUGAACUGGGCUCAUGUGACCUUGCUUUGCCCUCAGAAUGCCCUCAGAAUAUGAACUGUCUGAUGCUCUGAAUAAAGUUUGAUACUGAGUGAGACUUUACCGUCCCUCAUUUUCUUUAGGCUCCACUGUUCCAGGUUCACACUGCCAAAGAGAAUAGCAAUAAACUUACAGUCUUAGAGAGGUAAUAACUUGUCCAGAUCAUGACAGAUGUUACCCAGAAUUGAAACUCAGAUUGCAUUUCAGGGGUAGCCUUUCUGGAUCCCUUCAGAACUUGUCUCCAUGUCGCUGAUAACAGGUUCCUGGCACCAUUGCAUCUUGCCAAAGCACACAGGACCAAGUGACCAUGAAUUGAACCCUCUGAAAGUGUGAGUCAAAAGAAAUCUUUCUUCCUUUACAUGGUGAGGCAGAUACUUUAGUUACAGUGAUAAAAAAUAACUAAUGUAUGCAAUCUUCCUGCAUCUGACCCAUUUCACCUAUACUGGCACUCAAACAGCUCAAUAACAAAACAUCAAAUAACCCAACUAGAAAAUAAAUUACAUAUAUUAUGGUUUCCAAUUUGUGUGUUUGUGGUUUUGGGGAAGUUGCUUUCAUUUGGUUCGGUACAGUGUUUGUGUGCAUGUGUGUGCAUGUAUAUGUGUUUCUCAUGCAUUUUCUUUUACUUUUUUGAUUUUUUGUUUUAUUCUUUUUUAUCAUUUUUCUGUUGUUUUUGUAAAGACAGGGGAAAAGGUGUAGAGUUGGAUGGAUACAGACAUGGGGAAGAUCUGGGAUUAGAUGAGGGAAGGGAAUUAGAUUAAUUAGGAACUAAUCAGAAUAUAUUGUAUGAAAAAAAAACUAAUUCCCAAUAAAACCACUUACUACUCUUUUAAAAUAUUAAAUAUAUAUGAAAAUAAGCUAGAGAUCUGAAUACAUAAAUCUCAAAAGAAACACACAUGGCUGUACAUGAAAAAAAUAAAAUCACUAACUACCAAAAAAUGCAAAUAAAAACCAUUGUAACUUAUCACCUAACCAUGUUAGAAUGGUUACCAAUAAAAAGGCAAAAAGCCAAAACAACCAACCAACCCCCUCCAAAAAAACUGGAAAAACAAAAACAUAAGUAUUAGUGAGGUUAUGUAUAAAGGGGGAUUCCUACAUACUACCAGUGUUUAUAUCUAAGCCUUAGCAUAGCAUAGCCAUAGUGACUCAAUGCAUGUAUUUAAUUUAUAUUAUAUGGCCAAUACGAAUAAACAAAUACGGGCUGGAGAGAUGGCUCAGUGGUUAAGAGCACUGACUGCUCUUCUGAAGUCCUGGGUUCAAAUCCCAGCAACCAUAUGGUGUCUCACAAGCAUCCAUAAUGAGAUCUGACGCCCUCUUCUGGUGCAUCUGAAGACAGCUACAGUGUACUUAGCUAUAAUAAAUAAUAAAUAAAUCUUUUUUUAAAAAAAAAUAAACAAAUACAGAAUUCGAAGGUUAAAUAAAAAUGAAUAUUCAAGUGGAGAUACUUGUUGAACAACUGUUAGGUGUUUCAACAUUCCCUCCAUCCAGCUUCUUCCUCAAGAACAGAUCUCUCAGUUCUCAUCACAGAGACUUCUAUUUGCAGUAGAUGGUGAUUCACACAGACACCCACAACUGGUGAAGGUGCAGAGAAUAAGGGAUGUUCAGACUUAAUGGCUGUUUAUAUCAUAUCCUUUCUUCCCAAGGCUCAGGGAUCAUUGAAAAGGAGGGGUGGAAAGAGGGUAAGAACUAGAGGUGGCGAGAUCUUCAAGAAAACUGUUUUCAGAACACAACAGGGUAUUUGAACAUAUGGAUUCACAGUGGUUGGGAUAGCACACACAAGACCUUAGAAAGCUCAAGCCAAAGUCUCAGCAUAAAGAGAGGAGAUGGGCAUGAAGUCCCACAUCUAGUGCAGGAGCUGUUGGUCGUCAACAGCUGCCAGGAGAUGGAGAGCUGGUUUUUAAAAGAACGUGACCUCUGGUAAGUCAAUCACAUUCCAAUAAAGGCCACACAUCCAAGAGUAUAUGGCAGCAAAAUUUGGCUCAAUUAGAAUUUUUUUUUAAUAACAAUACAGAGUUGGACAGGUAAGGAAGUGGAGUAGAUCUGGGAGGAGUUGGGGUAGUGGAAUGAAUAUGACAAAAAUUUUUCCAAAAAUCAAUAAAAAAGAAUUUUAACAUAAUCUAUCUCGGCAUCAAACCAACUUCCUGUCACAUGAUCAUGAAGUUCACACUGUCCACACAGCAAAACAAUUAUUGUUUGUAGCCUUACCUUAAAAGCUAGUAUAAUAUAAUAUAUAUGUGUUAUAAUAUAUUACACAUAUUAUAUUACAUAUGCUUAAGUUUACAUCAUAUACUAUGUUGUAUAUACACACACACAUGUAUUUAAGUUUACAUUAUAUUAUAUAAUAUAUAUAUAUAUAAAACAAUUGAAGUUACACCAAUUGAGAUACAACUAUGUAACUAACCCCCAGUGCUAAGCAUGGGAAAGCUCCUUUUGAGUUGCUGGUCAGGGGGACCUAAGAGACAAACUCCCCAAACAAUACAAGCUAUGGAAAUUGCCCUUGCUACUUUCCAGGAAGGAAAUAAGAUCCUUCUGCUGUAGACAACACACACUUCAGACACUGGGUUUGAGCGCCCUGUGUCUGACCUGGAAGCCUCCUCACUGAGGGCUCUCGUAGUUUGAAAGGAGUUAUGCAAUCUGCCAACAGUCGCUGCAUUUGUUUCCUGGGAGUUACUAACAAGCAACUAAUUAAAUUUGAAGCCUAAUGACACAAAAAUGUCCACAGACUACCUAUUCUUGAGUACUUUCAAUUAAAAAUACUUUAUAACUAUAUAAAAAUUUGAGCUUCAGAUCAGUGUUAAAGUACUUACCACUAGCAUUUUAUUUCAUUACAUAGUCCAUAUAUGUGUGUGUGUGUGUAUGCAUGCAUGCACAGAGAGCAGAACUCUAAAGUACUACUGAGACAUAGCAAAGCCGGGAUAUGUUAGCUGGGUCAGGGCACACUGGCUGUAUAAUGAUACGCUCACGCCCCUUGAAUUACAAGGAGCUAUUCACAAGCGCCCCAGGAUAAAAGUGUCCUCUAUGGCAGGUCAAAAUGUAAUUUUCCUCAGCAUCCCUACAGAAUAGUAUGAUUGAUUCCUGAAUGGACUCGAACAAAAAUAUUUCUAAUCUAAUCCUUAGCCUUCAGUGACAGCAACCCUUAAGCCCCCUUUCACAAGAUCUACAUUGUCACCCCAUCCAUCUCCUUACUCAUUCUUCUUCUGGCAUCCUCACGGGGCAGUCAAGAGUGAACAAAGUACAUUUUUCCCCCCAGAGAUGAGAACUGUAGACAAACACUGCUGUACAGCCUGGGCCACGCUUCUUGCUCUGUGAGCAUGGAGAAUCUUAAGAUUGCAGUCUGAGAUACAAUUCAGAUGGAAUAAAUUACUCACUACAAAUUAUCGCAUACUCUUCUCUUUCAGCAUUUACCCUGUGGUUAAUACUGAAACAAUAGCACAUUUGCAUUUGAAGUGCUCAUAAUUAAUUUUCUCUCAAUUUCCUUCUCAGUGUCUUUGUGUUCAGCGGAAUGUUGGCUUUAGAAGUUGAUUGGCAGGGUGAAGCAACAGAAGAAUUGUGAAAACAAAUUGCGACCUACAUGCGAUUAGGUAGGAACUGAUAGAGUAUUCUCUGUGCAAAAUGCUAAGUACAUCACUAAGACCCAGGUAGUAUAGGGCCCAUAAUGAUUGGUUUAAAUAAUGGGCAUAGAGCCUUACAAAUACUCAUGCAUAAACCAUGCCUUUCUUUCUGUAAGUUUGGUAAUAAAGCGAAAAGAUGAAGUCUGUUAUCCUGCACAUCUAUCAGUUUCACAUCAAUUUUAGGAUUUUCAGUGUGUAUAUGUAUCCAAAUCAAACAGCCUUGUGUUGAAUUUGCUACAUGGUUCUUAAAAGUAUUGGUAAAGUUUGCACCUAUUUCAGAAUAUUUGACACAUUUUGUUGUGUUCAGGCAACCUUAUGAUUCAUUGGUAUUAAUCAAAGGCUUCAAAGUUUGAGAUGUGCAUAAAAUGGCUAACUGCUCUAAAAAUUUGGGCCUUCUGUAGAAAAGUGAAAUUAGCAUUAUAAGUGUGGUCAAGUAGGGUUAAGGAAAAAAAAAGAUGUAUGGGGCCCGGGUUGGGGAGAUGGAUUCAUUGGUAAAGUACUUGCUGCAGAAGUAUGAGAACCUGAGUUCAGUUCCUCUGUUGGAAGCUGGAUGUGUCCACCAUGCCUAGGAUCCCUACAGUAGUGAGAUGGAAACAAGAGGAUCUGGGGGCUUGUUGGGCAGCCAAUCUAGUUAAAUUGGUGAGCUCCAGCUUCAAUAAGAGAUCCUGUCCCAAAAAUAGGAUGGAUGAUAAUUGAGGAAGGCAUUUGACAUUGACUUCUGGUACACACACACACACACACACACACACACAGAGAGAGAGAGAGAGAGAGAGAGAGAGAGAGAGAGAGAGAGAGAGAUACACAAAAUCCAGAGAAGUGGGGUUUACUCUGGAGCAGGGAUCAAGCAAUCUCUCGUACAGGGAAGAAUAGGCAUGAUCGGAAUUGUAACUCGUGAGGCAGCUACUCCUACCAGGGUACAGAGUGAACAUGGUUGCUAUUUGUGGCUUACACAGUCCUUAUUUUGUGAAUACUAAGAUGAACACUCAGAGUGGUCUUCUUUUAUGUUUUAAUCUACCACAGACACAGAAAGGCCCUUUUUAUUUUUUUUAUUACAUCAUCUAUGAAACUGUGUAUAUAAGAGGCUGCCAAGGCCCAGUGUUAGUCCCAGAUCCAUGGACCUUUAUAUGUUAAUGCUUUUUCUUCUGAAUUGGGUAAGUGAUCUGUUGUAAAAUAUCCAGUCAUUUGAGGGGCUGGAGAGAUGGCUCAGCGGUUAAGAGCACUGACUGCUCUUCUGGAGGUCCUGAGUUCAAGUCCCAGCAGCCACAUGGUGGCUCAUAACCAUCUGUAAUGAGAUCUGAUGCCCUCUUCUGGUGUGUCUGAAGACAGCUGCAGUGUACAUAAAUAAAUAAAUAAAUAAAUAAAUAAAUAAAUAAAUAAAUAAAUAAAUCUUUUAAAAAAAUCAUCAUUUGAAUUCUGAAACUAACCAGAGAUCCAUAAAAACAUUAUUAUAAUUCUGGUAGGAGAUACAAUUAAAUUAAACUUAAAUUUUAAAAAAAAAUGGAAAGAUGCCAACCUCCACAGGGGUAACAUGUAGACUGCAUUCUUCAUUCAAAGUCUAGAUGCUAAAUGUCUAUUUUUCCUGUUUGUUUGUUUGUUUUUGUUGUAGGGUCUCACAUUGGCUUGAAUUCACUCUGUGUAGCUUAGGCUAUUCACCAACUCAAAUCUUCCAUCAUUAACCUCCUGAGUGCAGGAGCCACCAUGCCUGGCUGGAAAAUGUUGUGAACAAAACUGACCCCACAGACAUAGUUCAUUACAUUCAUGAUACAAGACUCCUGGAGAAAAUUUUGAUUGCAAACUAUAAAUUCUUUUAUAAUCAAAGUCCAUUACAAAGAAUGAGAGAAAGAUAGCAAGUGCUCCCUAAAAGGACUCAAGAGAGUGUUUUAGGGAAGCAGACAUGCAGCCUUACCUUUCUAGGCUUCUCACAAUGACUGGUCAUGGGCUGGGUAUAUAUGCUAUUGGUAGAGGGUUUGCCUAACAUCCAGGAGGCCCUGGUUCAAUACUUAGUACCGCAAACAUAGAAAUGAUUAAGGAAUUAAUAAACACAUAAUGGCUAACUGGUUUCCACAAAAUCCUCAGAGUCCAGCAACUGAAGUGAGGGUACUCAGUCGUCUUUGGGCUGCCUGAGCCCUGUAGCUGCUGGGCCUCCUGACAUUAAGAAUUUGGAAGUCAUCGAAUUGCCCCUGAUAUUAUCAGUACGUGUACAUGCAUCUAUUGUAUGAUCCCUAUAGUGCUCUGAAGCAGCAGCUGAGAUUGUGUUACUUCCUGUGAAAUGUGUGCAAAUUAUACAUCACUGCCUCAGAGCCAAAAUAUUUUUAUUUGUGAUGGAAUGGCAUUGUAUAUUCAACUGAAAUAUUAACCAUUGUGUGUGGUAUCAGAAAGUCUGAUGACCCCAAUUUAAAGCAAUUGUUAAGAAAAAAAAUGUAUUAAAUUUUUGGUUUUAUAAUCCUAAGAAGAAUUCUGCAUUUUAGGGAAAUGUAAAGGUGAAUAGGGUUGUGCACACCUAUCAGCACAGCACUUGAGAGACAGAGGCAAGACAAUCACCACAACUCUUGUCUACAUAGAGAGUACCAGGGCAAUGAGGGCUAUCUAUCAAAACCCUGCUGCAAACCAAGCAACCUGAUGGAUUGGUCAAGGCAGUUAUAAAAGCAAUCCCUACUUCUCGGAUGCGUUGCUCAUUAUUUACAUCUCAGGCACCAUUGCUCCUGGACUAAGUUCUCAAUUAACAAUCAAUGACAAUGGAAGUGUCUGCAGGAAUCACCAUUACUCUUAAAGACAGAGAAACAAUGAGAUGAGCAAGGGUAUAGCCUGGGGUGACAGCAGAAAUGCUAUGUUUAAGGUUUCUCAAUGGAUAAAUUGUUCAUGCUUGUAAUAAUUCACUGCAAUAACUAACUCACCAAAAAUUACAUAUAACUAGAAUGGCCCAAUCCUUUAUAUUCAUUGAAUGUGGAAAUCAAAUACUCUGACUACUAAGAAAACUGCAUUGUCAACUGUAAAAUGUAUAUCACCCUUUGUGUCAUGUGCAUCUCCACCGUCUGGACCCAACAGCUGCUCUGGGUAAAAAUGUUGACCCUAUCUUUCUGAUGUACAGGCAGUGGAAAGGAUAUUGUUUGAAGAGGAGAUACAGGCUGGACAAUAGCUUAGUCUGUAAAGUACUUGUUUGUGCUCUCCCCCAGCCUUGAGCAGGCUGGCUCAGACCUGGCUUGCCACAGCCCCCUAGCCCACCUAGGGUGGAGUCUUCCAACCUAGGUAAAGUCUAUUGUUCUGCCACAUCUGCGGUUUCCUCCGAGAUGCCACAACCUGGUUAGAGGCUGAACCUGUUCUCCUGAAGUGGUGGGGGAAUGGGCUUCCCCCCUUUUAAGUUCAGACUCAAAAGAUAAACUUUGGCCCUUGAUCAGUAACUUGUCUUGGUCUCUUUCUUCUUUCAUUCUUUCUCUCAUACAGCCCCAGCCUUCCUCUCGGGAACCCAGUUCAUGUAGCCACUGGUGGCUACACUUGCUUCAUAAGGAUGAGGGGUCAAGUUGAAUUCACAGGAUCUACAUUAAAAACACCAGGAGUGAUGCUGCAUAUUUAUAAUUCCAGGACAUGGCAGAUAGAGAUGAGUAGACCUCUGGGACUGGCUAGCCAGCCAGCCCUGUCUCCUGUUGUUUCAGGCCUGAGAAAAUACUCUGUCUCAAAAAUCAAAAAGGAUAAUUGUCCCUCUAGCUUCUACAUAUACAUGCACAAUACAGUCAUUGACCUCCCAAAACACACAUGCACCCAUACACAUGAACACUCACAAGGACAUGCACACACACACACACACACACACACACACACACACACACACACAAAAGGGAAGACAUUCAGACUGUUAGCACAGCCUUUAAGGGAUGGUUCCACUUUUGUUAAUGUGAAGAGCACCAAUUUCAACCAAUUAGAACUUGUGUGGACACUUAGAAAACCUCUUUAAAGGCUCCAUUAGAAUUUCUAAUGUCUUUUUUUCUGAGUAGUAUGGAAAAAUGCUUAGUGGAAUUACCUUUACAAAAGAAUUAAUUUAUUGUACCCUGAGGAUGUUAUAUUUGGUGAUUUAGCAGAAUGAAUCUGAACUAAUAAAGUACAUUUACGGAGGCUAAGGAAAUUUUCUAGUAGAGAGCUACUUAGUCACUUGGAACAAAUGAAAGUGGAGGUCUAAAGAUUAAAGAAUAGCUGUAAUGUUUAAAAGCUGUUAUUGUGUCUAUAGAAAGAUCGCUCAACAGCGACUGAAAUAUGAAGCAGUGUUCCUGGGUCAACAAAACCCACAAACCUCUACAGUAUGCUUAUGACACAAAAAUCUAAUAAAGCAACUGAGCAGAGAGCUCAGGUUCCAGGAAAAAGUUCAGACAGGAGAGCAGAACACACAG